AGAGUUUGAUCCUGGCUCAGGAUGAACGCUAGCGGCAGGCUUAACACAUGCAAGUCGAGGGGCAGCGGGGAGGAAGCUUGCUUUCUCCGCCGGCGACCGGCGCACGGGUGAGUAACACGUAUGCAACCUGCCCCUGUCAGGGGGACAACCCGCCGAAAGGCGGGCUAAACCCGCGUACAUGCCACCGGGGCAUCCCGGAGGCAGGAAAGGCUUCGGCCGGACAGGGAUGGGCAUGCGGCGCAUUAGGCAGUAGGCGGGGUAACGGCCCACCUAACCGACGAUGCGUAGGGGUUCUGAGAGGAAGGUCCCCCACACUGGUACUAAGACACGGACCAGACUCCUACGGGAGGCAGCAGUGAGGAAUAUUGGUCAAUGGUCGGGAGACUGAACCAGCCAAGCCGCGUGAGGGAGGAAGGUACAGAGUAUCGUAAACCUCUUUUGUCAGGGAACAAAGGCGGGGACGUGUCCCCGGAUGAGUGUACCUGAAGAAAAAGCAUCGGCUAACUCCGUGCCAGCAGCCGCGGUAAUACGGAGGAUGCGAGCGUUAUCCGGAUUUAUUGGGUUUAAAGGGUGCGCAGGCGGUCUGUUAAGUCAGCGGUCAAAGCCCGGGGCUCAACCCCGGCCCGCCGUUGAAACUGGCAGUCUCGAGUUGGAGAGAAGUAUGCGGAAUGCGCGGUGUAGCGGUGAAAUGCAUAGAUAUCGCGCAGAACUCCGAUUGCGAAGGCAGCAUGCCGGCUCCACACUGACGCUGAGGCACGAAAGCGUGGGUAUCGAACAGGAUUAGAUACCCUGGUAGUCCACGCAGUAAACGAUGAAUGCUGGCUGUCCGGGGGGAUUGACCCCUGGGUGGCGAAGCGAAAGCGAUAAGCAUUCCACCUGGGGAGUACGCCGGCAACGGUGAAACUCAAAGGAAUUGACGGGGGCCCGCACAAGCGGAGGAACAUGUGGUUUAAUUCGAUGAUACGCGAGGAACCUUACCCGGGCUCAAACGGGGAGUGACUCAGGCAGAGACGCCUGUUUCCCACGGGACACUCCCCGAGGUGCUGCAUGGUUGUCGUCAGCUCGUGCCGUGAGGUGUCGGCUUAAGUGCCAUAACGAGCGCAACCCCCGCGUGCAGUUGCUAACAGAUAACGCUGAGGACUCUGCACGGACUGCCGGCGCAAGCCGCGAGGAAGGCGGGGAUGACGUCAAAUCAGCACGGCCCUUACGUCCGGGGCGACACACGUGUUACAAUGGGUGGUACAGCGGGAAGCCAGGCGGCGACGCCGAGCGGAACCCGAAAUCCACUCUCAGUUCGGAUCGGAGUCUGCAACCCGACUCCGUGAAGCUGGAUUCGCUAGUAAUCGCGCAUCAGCCAUGGCGCGGUGAAUACGUUCCCGGGCCUUGCACACACCGCCCGUCAAG
rnacentral:rRNA from 1 species